UACAGAGGUCUCAAGCGUUGUUCGGAUUCAUUGGGCGUAAAGGGUGCGUAGGUGGCGGGGUAAGUCAGGUGUGAAAUCUCGGGGCUCAACCCCGAAACUGCACUUGAUACUGCCUUGCUAGAGUACUGGAGAGGAGAUUGGAAUUUACGGUGUAGCGGUGAAAUGCGUAGAUAUCGUAAGGAAGACCAGUGGCGAAGGCGGGUCUCUGGACAGUUCCUGACGCUGAGGCACGAAGGCCAGGGGAGCAAACGGG
rnacentral:rRNA from 1 species